AUUGAACGCUGGCGGCGUGCCUAACACAUGCAAGUCGAGCGAGCGGCGGACGGGUGGGUAAUGUAUGGGGACUGCCCGAUAGAGGGGGAUAACUACGGGAAACGGUGGCUAAUAGCGCAUACGAUCGGAUAACCCAUGUGGAAUUAGCUAGUAGGGGGGGUAAAGGCUCACCUAGGCGACGCUGUCUAGCUGGUCUGAGAGGAUGAUCAGCCACACUGGGACUGAGACACGGCCCAGACUCCUACGGAGGCAGCAGUGGGGAAUCGUGCGCAAUGGGCGAAAGCCUGAUGGAGCCAUGCCGCGUGUAUGAAGAAGGCCUUAGGGUUGUAAAGCACUGUUAGCGGGGAGGCGGUAUCUGCACAAGAAGCACCGGCUAACUCCGUGCCAGCAGCCGCGGUAAUAC
rnacentral:rRNA from 1 species